rnacentral:tRNA from 1 species
GCCCAGGUGGUGAAAUUGGUAUACACGUAUCCUUGAGGUGGAUAUGGGAGCAAUCCUGUGGAGGUUCAAGUCCUCUCCUGGGCA